rnacentral:rRNA from 1 species
GGGGAAUAUUGCACAAUGGAGGAAACUCUGAUGCAGCGACGCCGCGUGAGUGAAGAAGGUCUUCGGAUCGUAAAACUCUGUCCUUGGUGACGAAAAAAAUGACGGUAGCCAAGGAGGAAGCCCCGGCUAACUACGUGCCAGCAGCCGCGGUAAUACGUAGGGGGCGAGCGUUGUCCGGAUUUACUGGGCGUAAAGGGUGAGUAGGCGGUAAUAUGUGUCAGAUGUAAAAGGCUAUGGCUUAACCAUAGUUAGCAUUUGAAACUGUAUUACUUGAGUGCAGGAGAGGUAAGUGGAAUUCCUAGUGUAGCGGUGAAAUGCGUAGAUAUUAGGAGGAACACCAGUGGCGAAGGCGACUUACUGGACUGUAACUGACGCUGAGUCACGAAAGCGUGGGUAGCAAACA